UACGUAGGGUGCAAGCGUUGUCCGGAAUCAUUGGGCGUAAAGAGCGUGUAGGCGGCUCGGUAAGUCCGCUGUGAAAGUCCAGGGCUCAACCCUGGAAUGCCGGUGGAAACUGUCGAGCUCGAGUCCGGAAGAGGCGAGUGGAAUUCCUGGUGUAGCGGUGAAAUGCGCAGAUAUCAGGAUGAACACCAAUGGCGAAGGCAGCUCGCUGGGACGGUACUGACGCUGAGGCACGAAAGCGUGGGGAGCAAACAGG
rnacentral:rRNA from 1 species